rnacentral:rRNA from 1 species
AUGUCUUGCAGUUGCGGAUCAAGCUGCAGCUGCAGCUCAAAUUGCAACUGUGGUAAGAUGUACCCUGAUUUGGAGGGGAAGAGCAGCGCCGCCAUGCAGGCCAUUGUCGUCGUCCUCGGCGUCGGGCCCGCGAAGGUGCAAUUCGAGGAGGCCGGCCACGGCUGUAGCUGCGGUGCCAGCUGCAAGUGCAACCCUUGCAACUGCUAA